rnacentral:misc_RNA from 1 species
GAACCAGGAUCAGCCAAGUCCAAUCUCAGUUUUAGAACCCCCAUUUGAAGAGGAUGACAACACGAUUCCAGAGCUUUCUGGAAAUAUCAGGCCAAACUGCCGGGGAGCAGAGGUGCCUCUUAAGUCCAAUUUGAUUGACAAAUCACCACGUAUAGAAUCAAUUGCGAGGACUAUGUCAUGGGAUGAUUCUUGUUUAGAGACAGCUACACCAUAUUCAUUAAAACCCUCUUCAAUCUCUUCCUAUGCUGAGGAAGAAGAACAGGAGGACUGGCCUGCCUUAAUCCAAACACUGUUAUCAGCAGCUGGCCUUGAUGGCAACAUGCAAUUAGAUUCAUUUUUUGCCAGAUGGCAUUCACAUGAUAGCCCAUUAGAUCAAGCAUUGAGAAACAAAUAUGCUAACCUAAAUGACAAAGAACUGCUGCAUGAGGCGAAGCGAAGGCAAAGGAGAUCAAAUGGGAAACUUGUAUUUGACUGUGUCAAUGCAGCACUCAUGGAAAUCACUGAAUGUGGGUCGGACAUGAGCACAAGGGGCAUGCCUUGUACUGGGGCUCAUGCCAGGUUUGUACAGGGGGCUUCACCCAUGCUGGUGGAGCACUUGUGGGCCCAAAUGAAGGAAUGGUUUUGUGGUGAAGUGAGGUGUACUUUUGAGGACAGUGGGGACAGCUCCAGGCUGGUGUUGGAGCGGGUGGUGAGAAAGGAGGUGGUGGGGAAAGGGUGGUCUGAUAAUAUGAGAGCGGAAUUAGAUAAUUUGGGGAAGGAAAUAGAAGAUAAAUUGCUGGCAGAGCUUGUGGAGGAUUCUGUGGCAGAUUUGACAAGUUGGGUUUGAUGAGGCUAUCUUUCUUCCCUCCCUAUUUAUUGCAACUCUUAUUUGUCUAUUUGUGCAUUUGAUUCUCAACAACGAUGGUCCCUACCUACCCUACCCUACCUUUCUCAUUUGUUUAAUGCUGCAAGCGACUACAUUAAUGUCAAUUUGUUUAGUUUGUGUUCUUAUUGAUAAUAUAAUACAUCUGCUAACCUGAUAUAUUAACUUGGACUGUCAAAAUCUUCCUAAUUCUCUCAUACAUUCUGUUCGUAUAAUAUGCAAAAUCGCCAUGCCAAGACGAAAUGUGGAGAUGAAGGCCACUAGUUUUGGUUCUUUUGUCCUGAUAUAUUUGGCAUUUCAGCAGUGGGUGAUAUGCCAGUGCCCUCUUCAGAAAGGGACCGCUCCGGUUGAAGUUAAAGCUCUUUGACCCGCGUCGUCUUCAACUAAAGCGGUAAACUUUCCAUAUUCACAUUCUCCAAGGCUAUCUACAGCUGGGUCCCUAACUGGAGUCCCAAAAGGUUGAGGUCACUUCUUUUUGUUUUACCAAGUCCUAAUGAAUUUACCAUUUGAAUCGGUUUUGGUUUGAAUAUUGCUCGACAAUAAAAUUUUUGAAAAUGAUUUGGGUUUUAGGGUUUCUGUGUGGUAUUAUAUUGUUACCUUACCUUUCUUAAAUGAUGA